GACGAACGCUGGCGGCGUGCCUAACACAUGCAAGUCGAGCGAUGAAACCCUUCGGGGUGGAUUAGCGGCGGACGGGUGAGUAACACGUGGGUAACCUGCCUCAAAGAGGGGGAUAGCCUCCCGAAAGGGAGAUUAAUACCGCAUAACAUUAGUUUUUCGCAUGAAGAAUUAAUUAAAGGAGUAAUCCGCUUUGAGAUGGACCCGCGGCGCAUUAGCUAGUUGGUGAGGUAAAGGCUCACCAAGGCGACGAUGCGUAGCCGACCUGAGAGGGUGAUCGGCCACAUUGGAACUGAGACACGGUCCAGACUCCUACGGGAGGCAGCAGUGGGGAAUAUUGCACAAUGGGCGAAAGCCUGAUGCAGCAACGCCGCGUGAGUGAUGAAGGCCUUCGGGUUGUAAAGCUCUGUCUUUUGGGACGAUAAUGACGGUACCAAAGGAGGAAGCCACGGCUAACUACGUGCCAGCAGCCGCCGCGGUAA
rnacentral:rRNA from 1 species